rnacentral:rRNA from 1 species
GAUGAACGCUGGCGGCGUGCCUAACACAUGCAAGUCGAGCGUGAUUGUGUGGAUUGAAGCUUCGGCAGAGAGAAACACAUGAAAGCGGCGGACGGGUGAGUAACGCGUGGGCAACCUGCCCCAUACAGCGGAAUAGCCACUGGAAACGGUGAUUAAUGCCGCAUAAGACCCCGGUGUCGCAUGACACAGCGGUCAAAGAUUUAUCGGUAUGGGAUGGGCCCGCGUCUGAUUAGCUAGUUGGUGAGGUAACGGCUCACCAAGGCGACGAUCAGUAGCCGACCUGAGAGGGCGGACGGCCACACUGGAACGGAGACACGGUCCAGACUCCUACGGGAGGCAGCAGUGGGGAAUAUUGCACAAUGGGCGCAAGCCUGAUGCAGCAACGCCGCGUGAGUGAAGAAGGCCUUCGGGUCGUAAAGCUCUGUCCUGUGGGAAGAAAAAAAUGACGGUACCACAGGAGGAAGCCCCGGCUAACUACGUGCCAGCCGCCGCCGUAA